GCCUUUGUAGUGUAGCAGUCAACACGCUCGAUGCGUAUUCGAGAGGUCCAUGGUUCGAGUCCCGGCGAAGACG
rnacentral:tRNA from 1 species